rnacentral:rRNA from 1 species
UACGUAGGGUGCAAGCGUUAUCCGGAAUUAUUGGGCGUAAAGAGCUCGUAGGCGGUUUGUCGCGUCGGCUGUGAAAUCCCGAGGCUCAACCUCGGGUCUGCAGUCGAUACGGGCAAACUGGAGUGUUGCAGGGGAGACUGGAAUUCCUGGUGUAGCGGUGAAAUGCGCAGAUAUCAGGAGGAACACCGGUGGCGAAGGCGGGUCUCUGGGCAACAACUGACGCUGAGGAGCGAAAGCGUGGGGAGCGAACAGG